AUGUCGCCGCUCCGCGAGGAGCCUAGCCGAGGUAAACGUCGACCGGGCCAUGGGUUGCUGCCGAAGUUUGCUUUGGACGACAUUAAAAACGAUGCACUAGAGCGCCUGCGCCUGUGCCGCGAACGCCUCCGGCUGAUGCGGGAGGUCGAGGCCACGCGACCACGCGCCGUCUGGAGACCUGCGCCGCCGUGCCGCUCUGCAGGGUGCGGCGUGCUCGCACCACGCGCCGGAGGGCGUGGGCUGCCGCCGGGGACAACGAGAUGCGUCAAGGAACGCUGGGCAUCCGGUCGUGUCGGAGAAACCUUGCUGCCUCUCGGGCAUCAAGGACGUCGCCGGUGA
rnacentral:rRNA from 1 species